rfam:Tupaia chinensis contig163381, whole genome shotgun sequence.
AAGAUCAUACUUUCAGGGAUCUUUUCUAUAUUUUGAUACUAGAAGGGUUUCUAUGACCCCACAAGAAGAGGAUAGCAUUUUCUUCUAAGGGAGAAGCCUACCACUCUUGAUAUCAUAUAUCACUGAAGAUCAUUCUCUGAACAUUGAGAAAGUAAGAAGGGAAGGACAUGGUCAGAGUGGU